CGCCGAUCCGUCGGCAUACGUCGGUAGGGGAGCGUUCCCUGCAGCAGUGAAGCCGGACCCGCGAGGGCCGGUGGAGCGCGGGGAAGUGAGAAUGCUGGCAUAAGUAGCAAAAAGGAAAGUGAGAACCUUUCCCACCGUAAGUUCAAGGUUUCCUGGGCAACGACCAUCGACCCAGGGUUAGGCGGUCCUAAGGCGAGUCCUCGUCAUGGGGGGUAGUCGAUGGACAGCAGGUUAAUAUUCCUGCCCUUCCGUUCGUGUUCCCGUUGCUGACGCAUUGUUGUACUCUCCGGGCGUUUUGGCUAUACGUCUGUCCCAUGCGGCGCAUGGGGCGCAGGGCAAGUCGCAAGAUGAGCCCGAUGGAGGGGAGCGCGGUGCCCAGAAAAGGCGACGACUAAUAGCGAACGGGAUCCGUACCGCAAACCAACGCAGGUGAACGGGCACAAGUGUGCUCAGGUGUACGGGAGAACCCUCGUAAAGGAACUAGGCAAAACAGUGGCCGUAACUUCGGAAUAAGGCCUGCCAGUGGGUGUUGGGCAUUCGUGCCCAGCGUUCAUUGGCCGCAGCAAGCGAUGCCAAGCGACUGUUUACCAAAAACACAGGUCCCUGCGAAACCGAAAGGUGAUGUAUAGGGGCUGACUCCUGGCCAGUGUCAGAACGUUAAGGCGAGAGGUGAAACUUCUUCGGAAGCGUAGCUUUGAACCGAAGCGCUGAUGAACGCCGGCGGUAACCAUAACCGUCCUAAGGUCGACCGAAUCCGUUCUUGGGGAACGGGAACGCUGCCUUAGUGAGGUGUAAGACCUCCUCCGAACUCCGAACUCCUCGGAGAUGUAGGAGAAAACUUAGCUAUAUGCUGGGAAACCCGCGCAUAUCACAGUACCUAUCGUGGUAAUAAUCUGUGAUCGAAGCGGAAAAUCAGCAGGGAAGUCGGCAUGAAAUAUUCUCAUGCUUGACCCCUCAGAGACUACACGCUGAGCGAUAAGAUGGAAAUUCUCCUUCUUAUCGAAGAUAUAGUCCGACCUGUAUGGCGACAUGCAGAGCAUGGCAGAAAUGACCGUGCCCUCUCGAGCAUUACGUUCGGGAGCGUAACAUAUUGAGCGUAAUCCCCUGCCGGGUGAGUUCCGGCCUGCACGAAUGGAGUAACGACUUGGCAACUGUCUCUACGAGGGACCCGGCGAAAUUGCAAUGGGAGUGAAGAUGCUCUCUACCCGUGGCUGGACGAAAAGACCCCGUGAAGCUUUACUACAGCUUGCGCUUGGGUGUGCGCUUUGAUUGUUCAGUAUAGGUGGGAGGUUGGUGAUUUCGGUCACCAACCAACAGUGAGAUACCACCCUUUUGCUGUGCGCAUCCUUAUCUCCCCGAGUUACCCUCGGGGGGAGACCCGCGCUGGUGGGUAGUUUGUCUGGGGCGGAUGACUCCUAAAAGGUAACGGAGUCGUUCACAAAGGUUGGCUUAGCGCGGAUGGAAAUCGCGCUGGACCUGUAAGCGGAAAAGCCAGCUUUACUGCAAGGCCGACGCGCCGAGCAGUUGCGAAAGCAGGAGCUAGUGAUCCGACCGUACGAAGUAGGACGGCGGAAGCUCAUCGGAUAAAAGCUACUCCGGGGAUAACAGGCUGAUCUCCUCCAAGAGUCCACAUCGACGAGGAGGUUUGGCACCUUAAUUAACAUCGGGGUGCAUCGGAAGUGAUUCCGAUCCAAAAAAUACGGCUAUAACGGUGAAACCGUCAGCAACAACGUGGAAAGAAUUUGUUGCCCGGCAAUACCGUGGGAAGUCUUCGUGCAUGCACGAAUGACCCCGUAACGACUGACCCGAAAGGGGAGAAUCGCUUGGAGCGAUUAAUACGCCGACGCUCGCCAUAAAAACCGAGAUGAUGCAUCGAACAUGCUCACCAUCCGGAGCGAGAUGAAGAUAUAGUCUGUGCCAUAAGAAACUAUGGAAUUAACAAGUCCGACAGCGAUGUCGGCCCAUCGCAUCCUGGGGCUGGAGAAGGUCCCAAGGGUUAGGCUGUUCGCCUAUUAAAGCGGUACGCGAGCUGGGUUCAGAACGUCGUGAGACAGUUCGGUCUCCUAUCCACCACGGGCGUUGAAACUUGAAGGGACUCCUCCCUAGUACGAGAGGACCGGGAGGAAUUGACCUCUGGUGUACCAGUUGUCCUGCCAAGGGCACUGCUGGGUAGCUAUCGUCGAGUGCGGAUAACCGCUGAAAGCAUCUAAGCGGGAAGCCGUCCCUGAGAUAAGGUUUCGUUGAGCCCCCUUGGAGAUUACAAGGUUGAUAGGUCGCAGGUGUACGCGUCGCAAGACGUUCAGCCGAGCGAUACUAAUCGGGCGAGUCCCGACGGA
rnacentral:rRNA from 1 species